UAAUCAAACGCUGCCCUAAGCCAGAUGCAUC
rnacentral:piRNA from 1 species